rnacentral:rRNA from 1 species
ACGCUCGACACCUACUGGAGGCAGCAGUGGGGAAUAUUGCACAAUGGGGGAAACCCUGAUGCAGCGACGCCGCGUGAGUGAAGAAGUAUUUCGGUAUGUAAAGCUCUAUCAGCAGGGAAGAAGAUGACGGUACCUGAGUAAGAAGCCCCGGCUAACUACGUGCCAGUAGCCGCGGUAAUCUGAGCGGGCUGGCAAGGC